CUGCUAAGAUCCCCCUAUGACCAACAUUACCUGGCAACUCAGUUUUGGGAGAGCUAUGUAAGAAGCAAAGGAGGAUCAAGACAGAGAUGACACUGAUGCUGGCAGUGUCAAAAGGCCUGUUCGGAGACAUCGCCGUUGUCUCUGUUCUCCACAGCACCAGUCUGCUGCUCAUAUAAAAGUAACCACUGCAUGAUAGGAAAACUCUUGUGCUACAGGUCUGCAGCCUGGAUACCCCUACUCCAUCAACUCCAACCAUCUGACACUCUUGUAUUCAUCUGGUGACAAGAAAUGGCUAGAGAGCUGAUAAAAUGAAGAGAUAUUCCUUUACUGGAGACAUUUUCCCUUCUUUAAAGUGUUUAGGCCUUAAACCAGAGAAUCACCCUUUCUGGAAGUGGACACUGUAAAGUGAAGUUAUGCUUCAGAAUGCCUUUCGGAUCCUGCCGUUUCGGAUAUGUUGCUGUUGCUUCAGGGCAGUCAUGGACAAAGGUAAAACACAACUGUCAAGCUUGGAGAGACUCACUCGUCCCAUGAGUAGUUUACCUGAUCCACAAAUGUUUAGUUUGGAAGUCUGGCCCU